GCGGGCGAGGGCUACUUCAUUCGGAUGAGAUGGUCGCGGGUUCGACUCCCGCUGCCCGCC
rnacentral:tRNA from 1 species